UACGGAGGAUGCGAGCGUUAUCCGGAUUUAUUGGGUUUAAAGGGUGCGUAGGCGGCCUUGUAAGUCAGCGGUAAAAUUUUGCAGCUUAACUGUAAAAGUGCCGUUGAUACUGUGAGGCUAGGAUUUGGUUGCUGUGGGUGGAAUGUGUGGUGUAGCGGUGAAAUGCUUAGAGAUCACACAGAAUAUCGAUUGCGAAGGCAGCUCACAAAGCCAAGAUUGACGCUGAGGCACGAAAGUGUGGGGAUCAAACAGGAUUA
rnacentral:rRNA from 1 species